UCCCAGACUCCUACGGGAGGCAGCAGUGAGGAAUAUUGGUCAAUGGUCGGGAGACUGAACCAGCCAAGCCGCGUGAGGGAGGAAGGUACAGAGUAUCGUAAACCUCUUUUGUCAGGGAACAAAGACUGGGACGCGUCCCCGGAUGAGUGUACCUGAAGAAAAAGCAUCGGCUAACUCCGUGCCAGCAGCCGCGGUAAUACGGAGGAUGCGAGCGUUAUCCGGAUUUAUUGGGUUUAAAGGGUACGUAGGCGGAAUGCCAAGUCAGGGGUAAAAUCGCGGGGCCCAACCUCGCUCCGCCGUUGAAACUGGCGUUCUUGAGUGGGCGAGAAGUAUGCGGAAUGCGUGGUGUAGCGGUGAAAUGCAUAGAUAUCACGCAGAACUCCGAUUGCGAAGGCAGCAUACCGGCGCCCAACUGACGCUGAAGCACGAAAGCGUGGGUAUCGAACAGGAUUAGAUACCCCAGUA
rnacentral:rRNA from 1 species